rnacentral:lncRNA from 1 species
UCUUCUUAUUGGAGUUGGAGGAAUUUGAGUUAGAGUUGAGAUGACACAAUUGGAGACACUGCAUUGUCUACUUUCCCCAAUCCGACCAUCAUAUAUCAUAGACAUAUAUCUUUGUGGAAACUUGUUCAAGAUGGUAUAUUCUCCGUGGACUCCUAUAAAUUCCUAAAUUUCAGUGGCAUGAAAUGCCCAUUCUCAAAAUGCAUUUGGAAGACACCAACUCUGGAAAAGGUGAAAAUUUUUUCUUUGGCUAGCAACAAAAAUUAAGCUAUAUAUAGGGGA